rnacentral:rRNA from 1 species
AUUGAACGCUGGCGGCAGGCCUAACACAUGCGAGUCGAGCGGAUGAAGGGAGCUUGCUCCUGGAUUCAGCGGCGGACGGGUGAGUAAUGCCUAGGAAUCUGCCUGGUAGUGGGGGAUAACGUCCGGAAACGGGCGCUAAUACCGCAUACGUCCUGAGGGAGAAAGUGGGGGAUCUUCGGACCUCACGCUAUCAGAUGAGCCUAGGUCGGAUUAGCUAGUUGGUGGGGUAAAGGCCUACCAAGGUGACGAUCCGUAACUGGUCUGAGAGGAUGAUCAGUCACACUGGAACUGAGACACGGUCCAGACUCCUACGGGAGGCAGCAGUGGGGAAUAUUGGACAAUGGGCGAAAGCCUGAUCCAGCCAUGCCGCGUGUGUGAAGAAGGUCUUCGGAUUGUAAAGCACUUUAAGUUGGGAGGAAGGGCAGUAAGUUAAUACCUUGCUGUUUUGACGUUACCAACAGAAUAAGCACCGGCUAACUUCGUG